GCCGUUGGAAGCCUCGGCCCAGAGCGGUGAAGGACGGCAACCCGCAAGCCUGAGGCAGGGCCUAACGUGACACGAGACCUCUGCGACCCUGGAGCCCCCCCCGACUCCAGCACUCACUUUGUCGCCUGUCCCCGGCCCUCUCAGUUCCCCACUGCCCCCUUAAAAGCCGGGACCUGGGCAAGGGAACGACAGGCUUUACAGCCAAUGGCGUCCCGCACAGUAAACCUGCUACCCAAUCAAAAGGCGCGGCUGCGAGAGAAAGGCGAGGGAACCACGCCCUACUCCAGGUGACUCCUGGGCAGGGAGGGGAGCGUGCCACCGUCAUCAGAUAGGGUCCCUACUCAGUCUGUUCCUCCAGGCGAGUUACCGAGAACCAAACUGCGGGAGCGCGCGGGCAGUGGCCUGCGGCGGCAUCUUUGUGCUAUAGUCAAGGAGAGUGAUGGAGGAGCAUCAAGAGGCUGGGAAGGAGAGCAAGCCCUCCUGCACAUCCCUGAACCUGCAGGGGGACAGCUCCUUGCAGGUGGAGAUCUCCGAUGCAGUCAGCGAGCGGGACAAAGUGAAAUUCACUGUUCAGACCAAGAGCUGCCUCCCUCACUUCGCCCAGACCGAAUUCUCAGUUGUGCGGCUGCAUGAGGAGUUCAUCUGGCUACAUGACGCCUACGUGGAGAACGAGGACUACGCGGGUCUCAUUAUCCCCCCAGCCCCUCCGAGGCCAGACUUUGAGGCUUCAAGGGAAAAGCUGCAGAAGUUGGGUGAGGGGGACAGCUCCGUCACCCGGGAAGAGUUUGCCAAAAUGAAGCAGGAGCUGGAAGCGGAGUACCUGGCCAUCUUCAAGAAGACCGUUGCGAUGCACGAAGUCUUUCUGCAGCGCCUGGCGGCCCACCCCACCCUGCGUCGAGACCACAACUUCUUUGUCUUUUUGGAAUAUGGCCAGGACCUGAGCGUCCGAGGAAAGAACAGGAAGGAGCUCCUUGGGGGGUUUCUGAGGAAUAUCGUGAAGUCCGCGGAUGAAGCCCUCAUCACGGGCAUGUCAGGACUCAAGGAGGUGGAUGAGUUCUUUGAGCAUGAGAGGACCUUCUUGCUGGAGUACCACCCCCGCAUCCGGGACGCCUGCCUGCGGGCAGACCGUGUCAUGCACUCUCACAAGUGCCUGGCAGAUGAUUAUAUCCCUAUCUCUGCAGCACUGAGCAGCCUGGGAACACAGGAAGUCAACCAGCUAAAGAUGAGCUUCCUCAAACUGGCAGAGCUCUUUGAACGGUUAAGGAAGCUGGAGGGCCGGGUGGCUUCUGACCAGGACCUGAAGCUGUCAGACAUGCUGAGAUACUACACACGAGACUCACAGGCAGCCAAGGUGAGAGGUGGCCCCAGGGCAGAGCUUGGGCCCGGAGGCCGGUGGGACUGGGGAGGGCGGGCAGGCAGGCGAGGGCCAGGGCCAGGGAUCCUGUGCACCUGCCGGCCCCAGGACCUGCUGUACCGGCGGCUUCGGGCGCUGGCCGACUACGAGAACGCCAGCAAGGCACUGGACAAGGCGCGCACCAGGAACCGGGAGGUGCGGGCCGCUGAGAGCCACCAGCAGCUGUGCUGCCAGCGCUUCGAACGCCUUUCUGACUCAGCCAAGCAGGGUAAGGCCCGCGGCUCUGGAGCCCCUGCCACUGGGCUGCCCACCCUGCCAGGGUCCCCAUGCCUCUCCUCUCCAGAGCUCAUGGACUUCAAGUCCCGCCGCGUCUCCUCCUUCCGCAAGAAUCUUGUCGAGCUGGCGGAGCUGGAGCUCAAACAUGCAAAGGCCAGCACGCUGCUUCUGCGGAACACCCUUGUCAUCCUCAAAGGGGAGCCUCAGAGCCACUGGAGCCUUUCGUGAUGAGCCCCCCAGCCCUCCCACCACAGGAGCCACCAGCCAGGCCCCACCCCCUGCCCCCAGGUGCCAGGCCCUGCAAGAGGACAGGGCAGCAUGGGCACCAUACCUGGCCACAGCAGCCACUGGACCCAGCCCUCAUGAGUCAGCCAUCCAGGGAAGAAGGCAAAGAAAGCCGAAGAGAACGGUGGAAGUGGAGAAAAAGCUCAGACAACCGGGGACCAGAAGUCUCACAGCCACGUCUGGGCUGGGUAGGGCUGGGCUGAGCAGGGAAUCAGAGCAGCCUGACCGUCCUGCUCCCA